rnacentral:rRNA from 1 species
AUUGAACGCUGGCGGCAGGCUUAACACAUGCAAGUCGAGCGGGGUGAUGGUGCUUGCACUAUCACUUAGCGGCGGACGGGUGAGUAAUGCUUAGGAAUCUGCCUAUUAGUGUGGGACAACAUCCCGAAAGGGAUGCUAAUACCGCAUACGUCCUACGGGAGAAAGCAGGGGAUCACUUGUGACCUUGCGCUAAUAGAUGAGCCUAAGUCGGAUUAGCUAGUUGGUGGGGUAAAGGCCUACCAAGGCGACGAUCUGUAGCGGGUCUGAGAGGAUGAUCCGCCACACUGGGACGGAGACACGGCCCAGACUCCUACGGGAGGCAGCAGUGGGGAAUAUUGGACAAUGGGGGGAACCCUGAUCCAGCCAUGCCGCGUGUGUGAAGAAGGCCUUAUGGUUGCAAAGCACUUUAAGCGAGGAGGAGGCUCUUUUGGUUAAUACCCAAGAUGAGUGGACGUUACUCGCAGAAUAAGCACCGGCUAACUCUGUGCCAGCCGCCGCAGUAA